rnacentral:lncRNA from 1 species
AGAAGGGGCCAGCAUAGAAGACAAGGCUGUUUUGUUUCAUGGUGAAAAUCAUCUUUUAAAAUGGGGGCUGGGUCCGAGGAGGGAGAACAGACUGUCAGCAGUUCCCAGCGCUAUCAGGAUUCUCUGCUCUGCCACUGACGUUUAUGAGUUGAAAUGAAGAACCCAACCACAGAACAGAAUCUCCAAAGGCUGGAAGGUGCCAGGCACAGUUAUCACAGCAGGAUGCUUUCGGUUCUGGGCCACAGAGCAGCAGCGUUUUGGAGGAGCAUGAGAGCGAGGCUGCAUUCUCUUCACUACUUUGAGGCCACCUAGUGAGAAGGCUGUGGUGGUAUCAUUCUGUGGAAUGCCAACUGGCAGUAAAAGGCACAAGCCACAGCUAUACACAAAUGGAUCAAUCAGCCAAUCAUUUCGAAUCUACAAAGCAAGAUUCGGAAGACAACAUACCCUUGAGAUGCCCGUAUGGAUCUUUCUGUACAACUCAAAUCGAAACAAAUUUGAAUGAC